GCCCUUCUUUGGUUUUUGAGACAGGGCCUCCCUAAGUCACCCAGGCUGGCCUUGAACCUUGGUCCUCCUGCCUCAGCCUGCAGAGUGGCUGCGGUGACCCGGGUGGGCCCGGCGCCCACUGGGUUCAGUUUUCCUACUUGUGAAGUGAAGUUUGUGCCACCUGAACACUGACGGCAUUCCAUGAGGCUUGGCGCCAGGCUGCGGUAUGAACCCGACCUGCAUUCUCUCUGUUAACCCGUGGGAGUGUUAUCUUGGUGUCUCGUCCACUGUAACGGAUUUAUCCCCACUUUACAGAUGAGGAAGUGGGGCCCAGACUGGGUGGACAACUUGCCCAGGACGGCACAGCUGCAGACCCAGGCGGAGCGAGGGACAGACUGGUUUCAAGCACGAAGCCUCCUCUCCCCCGCCGUCUCGUGACGGCCCACGACUCUGAGCUUGCUCAGACGGCUCCACCGAGGCCACUCUAGAGACUCCUCCCUGGAAAGUACCACGUCAUGUCGAAGCUCAGUCACCUGGUCACCCCCCUCAGGCCCUGGGAGUGGGGACUGUCCAAGGCCAGAGAACAGGAGGGCCUCCUGGUCACCCCUGGGGCUGUGGUGAGGCUCUGGUUCCAGGAUUCAGGGGCCACAUGCCCUGGGCACCGCAGGUGUGUGCAGAGGGUCCACGCCAGCGAGGAGGUGGGCAGCCUAGACCAGCUCCUAGAACUGCCCCGGAGGCCACCCUGGCUGCAGGAGGCCAGUGGCUGAGCACAGCCUCUUCCAACCUCUCUGAAGGGACACAGCAGAGCUGGGCGUCAGGGACACGACCCUGCCCAGGGCCGUCCCCAUUGCUAUCCCUUAAUGCCGAGGGGAGCAGGUGGCCAGGAGUGCACGCCUCGCUGCACGGUGCAGGUUUCAGGGCUGGAACGGCCCCAGCUGCUGGCCUGGGGUCCUGGGUCUCUGUCAUGGUGGUGUCUCUUCCCUGUCCCAGGUCCCCACAGGACCCUCAAGUCGGCCCUUCGUCUUCUAGCCACCUGGAGAGCCCAGUCUCCCUGGCUGCCUCUCCUAGAGAAUGGGGUGCAGGCUGUGGGUGCGGCCCACUGUGUCUUGGGCGUGACGUGGGGGUCUUCCCCACCAGGCCUCAGAGACCCGGUUAGCCUGGGACUCCUGGCGGAGGAGAGGACAGGCUGGGGCUCUAAGUGGGCGAGGUGGUCAGCCAGGCCUGGGAUGGGCUAUCUCCCCGGGUGGGCCAUGGAGCCACAGAACAGGACGCAGGCUGGCUGGCGGGCCAGAGGCAGAGUGGUGGGGAGUCCCCUGGGAGGCCAGGAGGAGUGAACUGCUCACAGAGAGUCCGGCCACAAGGAGGGCGGGCAGGGACAGGGAGGGCCCACGGGCCACGUGCUCAUUUCCACUUCUUAGCAGAGCAUGGCUCUGAUCCCCUUUCCCGACUGGAUUCCCUGCUGCAGGGAGCACGGAGCCAGCCAUUGUCAGGGCCUGGUGCAGAAAGCUGCAGCGGGCCACACCUGUCUCCCGAGGGCUGGUACUUCCCGGGUCAGCUGGCCACGGUAGUCCUGGACAGCCCGGCCUCUGGGCAGUUAUGGACGCCCUUGGUAGCCUGUGAAGGGCCUUUCUGACACAGAGGGGCAGGUGUGGACCUUGGGAGCUCUAUGUCCUGGUCUGGGGACAGACGGCCAGCCAGCUAGCUUCAGCCCCCUGGGAUGGCAUCUCUGGGCCUCUCUUGGGCCGGUGGGCCCCAGCCCUGAGCUCCAGGCACUCUGCCUCUUCCCACCUCCAGCUCCUGAAGAGGCCACCCUGGACAGGCCUCUGGCGUUCCCUGGUUUCAGUGUCCAGGUGCCCGUGGUGCUGCAGAGAGCCCCUGCUCCCAUUCCCAGCUCCCGUGCCACCCGUGGAGGGCAGCAGUGGGUCUGGCCUCAGGGGUCCCAGGCCUGGUUUUGGGUGGCUGCCUCUGCAGGAGGCCACCUGUCUCUCCCACGAGGCGAGGCCUGAGUCCUGAGCCGGGAGGACGCCCCGCUGAGCAGGGGGUGAGCGGGGCCUGGUGCCGAGACAGCCACCGUGGUCGGUGGACACCGCUUGUCCCAGAAUGGAGAGGAAGCAGGCCAUUCCCUGAGUCCUGAAAAAGGGCAGGCACCUGUCCCCUCUGAGUCUGCAGUGUCACCAGCCCAGGGGAGAAGCUUCCAGGAAGCAGGAAGGUGACAGUCAGCCUGAGAACAGAUUGAGGUGUGACGGGUGACAGCCAGAGAUGGCCCAGGAGGUGGGUCAAGACGCCCUGGUCAGCCACGUCCACAGACACCACGGCUGGAAUAAGACACCGUGGUCAGUGACCCUCCCCACAGAGAGAAGGGAAGGGUGGCUGAGGGUGACAUGGACGAGAGCAGCACCGUGAGCUUCCUCCCAGAAAGGACAGCAGGAGUCCCGCUGAACCGAGCUUCAGCCCGGGGGGCCUCCGUGUGACCAGAGGUCCAGAGGUGGCCUCUCGUAUUGGUUAGCUCUUGCUGCGUAACAAACCCUCCCCACACUGGACUCGAACAGCCGGUUCUGAUAUUGCUCCUGAGCUUGUGAGCGGACGGGGCAGUUUGCCACUGUCCAGCUGCCCAGUAGGGACCAGUGGAUGAGCUGGGCCUCUUCUUUCCCAAACUGAUGUAGGAUGAGCUGGGCCUCAUGGUGGCUGUUGGUGUUGGUGGCCGGUUGGUCCUGGAGCUCAGAGGGGCACGGGAGUGAGUAAGCUGUGCGUGUCUCACCCUCCAGCAGGCCGGCCCAAGAGCACCAGGCAGGCCCGGCCCUGCUCGCGGGUGUGCUCCAGCCUCUGCAUUUGCUACCAGCCUUGGCCAAAGCAAGCACAUGGCUCAGGUUCUAGGGGAGUGGAAAAGCAGACUCAGUCCCUUGAGUGGGAGGACUCUAAAUCCAUGAUGCAGCGAUGGGAAGAGUGGCAGCCAUUUCCGAGACCUGCCACAUGGGCUUCAGGCUGGGUUGGACCCAGGAGCUGCUCCCCUCUUGACUCUGCUUCUUUCUUUGUCAGAUCCACUUGCAGCCAAGGCAGAGUGAGCGGUCACCAGGGACUCUGGCCUCCUUCAGGUCCAGCGGGAUGAAAUUCCCUCUCUUCCCCAUGGUUCUGAAGGAAGCCCCCAGAUCGCCCCUCCUUGACUGGUUGGACAGUGUGCCCAUCUCUGGGCAGACUCUGCCCUGGAGGCUCGUGAUGCCGUAAUGGCCUCCUCAGGGCACAGAGGGGGGAGUGGGCUCCACACGCCUCGUGGACAGAGCAGGAGCAGGAGCGGUGGCCUUGGAAGCCAGGUGCCACACAGGAAGCUGAGGAUGCUGGGUAGACAGGGAACCCGGCCGGCAGGCCAGGGCCUUCUGUUUACGCCCUCUUUUUUUUUUUUUUUGUACUGGGAAUCGAACCCAGAGGUGCUUAACCCCCGGGCCACACGCCAGCCCUUUCUUAUAUUUUACUUAGAGACAGGGUCUCGCUGAGUUGCUCAGGGCCUUGCUGAGUUGCUGAGGCUGGCUUUGAACUUGCGAUCCUCCUACUUCAGCCUCCUGAGCUGCUGGGAUCACAGGCGUGGGCCACCACCCCGGCCCGUUUGCUCCCUCUUGGGAACACCUGCUCGCCGCCAGCCCCGCCUCUCGGGCUCUUUGCCUUCUCACCACGAAGUCCUGGGAGUUCUAGAAGGGGCCGCGUCGCAGUUUGCGGUCGGGUGGGCUUUGUGAAUGUCCCCUCCCAGCCUGGCUUUCCUCCAUUUCUUACGGGGACUUUUCAUCCGGUAAGCAGUUUUGGUGUGGACGAAUCUAACCGGACUUCUAGUCUGUUUUUUAGGUCUUGUCUGAGGCGCUUUCUGCCUGGGUCUCCUUGGAGAAGAUCGUGGGUCUUCCUUGUUCAUCUUGAAUCGAUCUUUGUGGACGGCAUGAGAUGAAGUUCGAGUUCCAUUUCUUCCAAACAGACGCCCGGUGCUUCCUGGGCCUCGCCACUGUGUCCUGCGGCUACAUGAGAGUCACACCGGAGCCUGGCAGCUGGGAGACACUGACUUGUCCUCCGUCCACAGCGCUGCGUUUGACCGUACUCAUGCCCCACUGUGGGGUACCAAGAGGUGGGCCGGGAGGAGUGGCCAGGCGUGGCCUCGGGGUGGGCUACCGGGCUGCUUCGAGGGCCUCAUACUCCCUGGCCUCCUCGGGCUCAGCCAGCAGGGCCGGGGCCAGAGCAGCCCCUUGACCUGGGACCGAGCAUAAGUGGACUGGGUCCUUUUGAUCCAAUGUGUCCAGUCUGCGGAGCCGCGUGGCCGGCAAACACACAACCCUCCCCCACAAACUCUCCCAGUCUUGCCCAGCUGCCCCGGGCAAGGAGGCAAGCUGCCUGGGCCCCAGACCACACAGUGGGCGUCACGGCUCCACACGGCACGGCGGAUGCUUUAGAGACAUUCCAGAGUCACACCCACCUGCUCUGAAAGUCCUCCGUGGCUUUGCCAGGUGCAGCGGCCUGUAAUCCCAGCAUCUUGGGAGACUGAGGCAGGAGGAUUACAAGUUUGAGGUCAGCCUCUGCAACUUAGUGAAACCCUAUUUCAAAAUAAAAAAGGGGCCAGGGAUGAAGCUCAGUAUCAGAGACAGGGUCUCGCUGAGUUGCUCAGGGCCUUGCUGAUUUGCUGAGGCUGGCUUUGAACUUGCGAUCCUCCUACUUCAGCCUCCUGAGCUGCUGGGAUCACAGGCGUGGGCCACCACCCCGGCCCGUUUGCUCCCUCUUGGGAACACCUGCUCGCCGCCAGCCCCGCCUCUCGGGGUUCACCCCCAGGACUGCAAAGAAAGCCGUCUGUGGCUCCGACCCACUCAGUCCUCCACCCCCCAGCCUCCACCCCCCAGCCUCCACUCCCCAGCCUCCUCAGCAGUAGCCCAGAGGCCAGGAAGCAAAACUAGCCAGCCAUGUCCCCCUGGGCUCCCUAGUGUGGGCACAGAUGUCAAGGUCCCAGAUGAAGACAACCGCCACAGUGUGCCACAUCCCGUAAGGAGGCUGGGCCCCUAGGAAGGGAGGAGAAGAAGGAGGAUGCAGUGAACCUUCUCCCUGCCCUCGGCUGGUCCUGGACCACCCACUCACCACCUCUGCCUCAUGUCGGGGGCGGGGGCACUGCAAUGCCCCCACAGAGCGACCCCUCCCUCUGUCCCAAGCCUGGCUUGGCUCAGCACCUCCUGGGGGGCCUCUGCUUUCCACUGCAUGGACAGUCAGGGCAACCCAAUGCCAUCCAGCGGAACCGCCCGGCCCCGGCCCUGGUCACCAGAGGUGGGGACACAGGGGCCCUGCAGCGGCCCUUCAUUCCCGAUGCUGGGCCCAGGCAUCUGGGGGUGUAUGGGCAGAGCCAACCUCACCGACCCCUUCCAGCUCCGGUAGAGCCAGGGCAGAGGGUGGAGAGCAAUGUCCCUGAGCCCUCAGCCAAGGCGUGGAACCCCCGUGACACGCCCUGGCCACCCAAGCACAUAGGCUGCCUCCAGUGAUGGCCACUGAGUCCCGAGGCACUGUGCCACCUUGGGAGUGUCAGCUGGGUCCCCAGCUGGGGAGGACUUGGCUGUCCAGGGCAGGUGCAGAUGUCAGGGGUCAGCCUGGAGGCGCUGGUCUUGCUAGAGCAGCUACGUUGGUAGAAAGUUCUGCACUCUGUGUCACUCAGCAAAGCCACCAGCCUCCCUCUUCCUGGAUCCUGGAAGGCAUCCUUUGCCUGAUCUGCCCCGUGGAGCCUGGUGGGGGCCGGUGCCCUGGCCGGAGCACAGUGUGGCCCAGCGUUGAGUGGAACUGAGAGUCACCGCAGGCGCUGUCUCAGACCCAAGGGCCCUGGCGGGCAAUCUGGGACAGAGCCGGCCCCACCCCACCUAUUUUGAGAAAUGGGGACAUCAAAAAUAGAAAGGCCCUAAUUCCACAGCCUGAAGCUCUUGUUUAGAGAGCGGCAAUGAGCUAAGACAAUGAGUCCCAAUCGCGCAUCGUGGUCACAAUGGGUUUUUCUUUUUUUAAGUGCUUCAAACUCUUUGAGGGGACAAAAAUUGGCUAAAUUGUCUUUAAAGCUGGAACAGACAUUGCCAGCCUUGGGGUACAGGGAAGGAGUGGACUUCCGGGGGACCGCCCUGCUGACGAGAGGACUUAUGUUUGAUCAAUUGAUUACAUUCCCAACCAGGGGGAGCAGGACGGUUCCAGAACCACAGCUGCUCUACAGCUUGGGUGCUCCUGAGUUGCUCUUCUGACCUCGCUGGCUCCCGGAAGCUGGGAUUUAGCCAAGGCUAAAGGUGGCAGAGCUGACCCUGGCCAGAGAGGGCCGUCCGCCGGAUCUGCAGGUCGAGGGAAGGAGAAGCCGCCUUUUCCUGUUCUUUCCGCCCUGAUGUUGAAGAGCAGCAUCAGGGUGGAGCGUGGCUCUGGCCUUGCACACCGUGUGCCGAGGAGGACACCAGUCCUCCUCCCUGUCCUCCUCCCGUCCUCCUCCCUGUCCUCCUCCCUGUCCUCCUCGUCAGACACUGAUCAGACGUGGGGUCGGUGAGGAGCUGAGACCGAGGUGGGGGCACUCUGGGCACAGCAGAGGAGGAGCGGGGAGGCAGGGGAGGAGCCUCCAUGGCCAGGGGACCUAGGAUGACCGUGGGCAGGGACGGGAUGGCCACCAAAGCAGGCAGAGCUACGUGGCAAAGGCCGAGAUGGAAGGGCGCGUGGCGAGGAGGCAGCCGUGGCUGUAGAACCGUGAGGCUCCUGAAGACACACGGGCCAGCGCCAAGCUCGGCCUCUGGACUUAAAGUUUCCCGGAGUGAAACGCAGCAGGGCAGGGGUGAGGUGGACGGAGAACUGCUGCUGCAGAGUCCCCGCCCUCUAUGGGGACCCCCCACCAGAGACGCCCCCUGCCCGGUCCACAGCCGGGUUCUCAUCCGAAAAUGCCCAGAGCCAGACACGCAGGAGCCCGAGGAGAGCCAAGCCAAGGGAGAAGAGCCAGGCUCUCUGGGUGGCGCCACCCUGGUGGGGUGCGGGAGGCUGGGCAGGAGUGGCCUCCGGAAGGUUCAAUGAGAAAACGAGUCAGCUUUUGUGAAAGAGAGCCGGCUGUCAAUCCCCAGGGACAGUAGUAUAAGGCGGCUGUCAAUCCCCGGGGACAGUAGUUUUAGGAAAGGGAAACCCUUGGUCACACUUGCCCCUGAAGUUCCCCAAUACAAACCCUGAACAGAGGGUGGUGCGCUGUGCUUGGGGUGCCCCUGCUCUGAGGGCUGGAGGAGAUGCUGGUCUAAUGAGAGGUGGAGACUGAGCACCGAGGAUGUCACCUGAAACCCACGACCCGAGAGAUCACAAUAGAAGCCAUGUGUCCCUUCAGAAGACAGACGGGGUCAACACUCAGGGACUGGGAAGGACUGAAGAGCUGGAAUGGGGGUGGGGGGUGCCUGCGGUUCAGCCUGGCGGGUCCCUGGCGCUAUGCGGCACGGGCAGACACACACCUGGGCCAGUCCUGCCUCGAAAGGAGACCAGGGCCAGCCUGUCCCCACAGGGGAGUGUGACGAGUGGACUGGGUGAGGCACGUGCAGGACCAUCUCUGGAGGGCUCUCAUGGCCUCAGCAUCCGGGGAACAUGCCACUGUAAAGUCCCCAUUUUUCCUUUCAGCUUUCAAAGGAAACCAGCAGUUGCAUGGGCCAGGGGCUGCU
rnacentral:lncRNA from 1 species